AGCACUGUGGCUCAGUGGUAGAGCACUAGCCUUGAGCUGGAGAGUUCAGGGACAGUGCCA
rnacentral:tRNA from 1 species